rnacentral:tRNA from 1 species
GGUCGGUUAGCUCAGUUGGUUAGAGCGUCGUAUGUUGUUCUUAUCCACUGUUAGAAAAAAUAUCCACUAAUAUGCCACAGGUACUAAUAAUGCGAAGGUCAUGAGUUCGACCCUCAUACCGACCA